rnacentral:rRNA from 1 species
GAAAGAUUCAUCGGAAGGGGAUGGGCAUGCGGCGCAUUAGCUAGACGGCGGGGUAACGGCCCACCGUGGCGACGAUGCGUAGGGGUUCUGAGAGGAAGGUCCCCCACACUGGUACUGAGACACGGACCAGACUCCUACGGGAGGCAGCAGUGAGGAAUAUUGGUCAAUGGGAGAGAUCCUGAACCAGCCAAGCCGCGUGAGGGAAGACGGCCCUAUGGGUUGUAAACCUCUUUUGUCGGAGAACAAAACCCGGGACGUGUCCCGGACUGCGUGUAUCCGAAGAAAAAGCAUCGGCUAACUCCGUGCCAGCAGCCGCGGUAAUACGGAGGAUGCGAGCGUUAUCCGGAUUUAUUGGGUUUAAAGGGUGCGUAGGCGGUCUGUUAAGUCAGCGGUAAAAUUGCGGGGCUCAACCCCGUCGAGCCGUUGAAACUGGCAGACUUGAGUUGGCGAGAAGUACGCGGAAUGCGCGGUGUAGCGGUGAAAUGCAUAGAUAUCGCGCAGAACUCCGAUUGCGAAGGCAGCGUACCGGCGCCAGACUGACGCUGAGGCACGAAAGCGUGGGGAUCGAACAGGAUUAGAUACCCUGGUAGUCCACGCAGUAAACGAUGAAUGCUGGUUGUCCGGGUCGAAUGAGACCUGG